CGGGAAGCGAGCGUACACAGGUGCUGCAUGGCUGUCGUCAGCUCGUGUCGUGAGAUGUUGGGUUAAGUCCCGCAACGAGCGCAACCCUUGCCUUUAGUUGCCAGCAGUUCGGCUGGGCACUCUAAAGGGACUGCCGGUGUUAAACCGGAGGAAGGUGGGGAUGACGUCAAGUCCUCAUGGCCUUUAUGACCAGGGCUACACACGUACUACAAUGGCCGAUACAAAGGGCAGCGACACUGCGAGGUGAAGCCAAUCCCGUAAAAUCGGUCUCAGUCCGGAUUGGAGUCUGCAACUCGACUCCAUGAAGUUGGAAUCGCUAGUAAUCGUGGAUCAGCAUGCCACGGUGAAUACGUUCCCGGGCCUU
rnacentral:rRNA from 1 species